UACAGAGGUCCCAAGCGUUGUUCGGAUUCAUUGGGCGUAAAGGGUGCGUAGGCGGUGAAGUAAGUUGGAUGUGAAAUCCCGGGGCUCAACCCCCGGAACUGCACUCAAUACUGCUUUGCUAGAGGACUGGAGAGGAGAUUGGAAUUCACGGUGUAGCAGUGAAAUGCGUAGAUAUCGUGAGGAAGACCAGUGGCGAAGGCGAAUCUCUGGACAGUAUCUGACGCUGAGGCACGAAGGCUAGGGGGAGCAAACGGG
rnacentral:rRNA from 1 species